UUCGCAAUGCCCGAAAGGGUGACGAAGCGACGCCGCGUGGGUGAGGAAGGCCCUCGGGUUGUAAAGCCCUGUCAGGAGUUAAGAAAUGUAGAUUCGCUAAUAUCGGGUCUAUUUGACGAAGGCUCCAAAGGAAGCCACGGCUAACUCUGUGCCAGCAGCCGCGGUAAUACAGAGGUGGCAAGCGUUGUUCGGAAUUAUUGGGCGUAAAGAGCACGUAGGUGGGUUUGUAAGUCAGAUGUGAAAGCCUUCUGUUCAACGGAAGAAUUGCAUCUGAAACUGCGAGUCUUGAGUGUAGGAGGGGAGAAUGGAACUUCUGGUGGAGCGGUGAAAUGCGUAGAUAUCAGAAGGAACGCCGGCGGCGAAAGCGAUUCUCUGGCCUAUUACUGACACUCAGUGUGCGAAAGCUAGGGGAGCAAACGGGAUUAGAUACCCCGGUAGUCCUAGCCGUAAACGAUGGGCACUAAGUAGAGGGGUUUU
rnacentral:rRNA from 2 species